rnacentral:sRNA from 1 species
GCUGGUACUAUCAUUGAGCUGUUGACCAACCGUUUUUGCGAAGUGAUGUUUCGAAAGGGUCUUCCUUUCUGAUGUGGCUGGCGUUGGCAGAUAUUUGGUGGAGGCUUGGUACCUAUUUUGAGUGACUUGACUUAUAUCUCUUUCAAGGAACGACUGACUCCAAAACCUAGAAAGAAACUUGCGAGGAGAUAUGGGAAUCAGAUGGCGAGGCCAAGAUUAAGGAUGAUCUCAUAGGACCUCCUGCACCUGCAGCUUAAGGUACAGGGAAGGUUAUCUGGCUCGAUAAUAUGAAAGAGAUUCAUCAGAUCACUUCUCUCUUGCUACUUCGGAUACCAUUGCUCGGUGAGUAAUGCUGUUAGAACAUCCAAUUCCGAAAGCUGAUUGGUAUGACUAACCACUGCUGUUCCGGCUCCUACAACCACCACUGUCGCCUACGCCGCGGCAUCGGCCAUCCCGCAUUUUUGGCGACGAAUGGCCUCAAAGUUGCAGACGUGCAAGCCAAUGGCGGGCCGAUUGAUCCAUUGCUUGGCUAUUUCCAAAGAUAACAGCAGCUGGCCAGCGCUGACCAUAGCUGCCAGUGUCAGGCAAGACUUGAGUGAAGCUUCAUUCGCCGACUUCACCAUCUACGAUUCGGAUCCUCGGAGUACAUCAGCUAUUCAGAAGUUGUGGACUUUUGGCCCAGAAAUUUCGAAAGCACUGGAAAAUGGUUUAUUACUAAAUAAGAAUUCUGUGCAGGUUACGCGGGUGAAUUGGGCAUGGCUUGAUAAAUCGUAGCAGUGACAGCAUUAGCGGCGAAAAAUUUAUUAGUGGGAGUGGCUGUAGCGCAGAUCGUACAUCUUGGAGAACGCAGGUGUCUGGUGAUUGAUACGUCGAUCGCCACCAGAGCGGAUAUUUCUAGCGACGAUGAAGUGGUCUGGAUGAAAGGGAGGUUGAGCACACCUCAGGCCAUGUAUAUAUCACUGGUAAUCCUGAUAUUGUACUGAGCGUUGGGCAAUAUUAUUCGGUUAAUAUCUUCGAAGGGCCACAGUUCGAAAUCCGACUGGUCAUGGAUCUAGUGACAAUAUCACUAUCAAUAUCAGCAAACUCAAGCCAAGCUCCAGGUAUCUGUACCAUCUUAACUUGUUGACAGGCUACCUUCACACAAUUUAUUGAGGAACGCAAUCCGAUGAUAAUCGUUGGUUAACAUGAAGAUGUUAAUUCUUCCGGAAUUCCUUUCUUUUCCCUUGACUUUCAUUUCGCUAUCAGUAUUACUUAAUGUUCUUGUCAUAUGCAUUGAGCAAUAAGC